rnacentral:rRNA from 1 species
AACGAACGAGGGAGGAAGGAGGAACACAUGCAAGUCGAACGAGACCUUCGGGUCUAGUGGCGCACGGGUGCGUAACGCGUGGGAACCUGCCCUUAGGUUCGGAAUAACUCCCCGAAAGGGGUGCUAAUACCGGAUAAUGUCUUCGGACCAAAGAUUUAUCGCCUUUGGAUGGGCCCGCGUUGGAUUAGCUAGUUGGUAGGGUAAAAGCCUACCAAGGCGACGAUCCAUAGCUGGUCUGAGAGGAUGAUCAGCCACACUGGGACUGAGACACGGCCCAGCCUCCUACGGGAGGGAGCAGUGGGGAAUAUUGGGCGAUGGGCGAAAGCCUGAUCCAGCAAUGCCGCGUGAGUGAUGAAGGCCUUAGGGUUGUAAAGCUCUUUUACCCGGGAUGAUAAUGACGGUACCGGGAGAAUAAGCUCCGGCUAACUACGUG